rnacentral:rRNA from 1 species
GACGAACGCUGGCGGCGUGCCUAAUACAUGCAAGUCGAGCGCAGGAAGCUGACGGAACUCUUCGGAGGGAAGGCAGUGGAAUGAGCGGCGGACGGGUGAGUAACACGUAAGGAACCUGCCUCAAGGAUUGGGAUAACUCCGAGAAAUCGGAGCUAAUACCGGAUAGUUCAACGGACCGCAUGGUCCGCUGAUGAAAGGCGCCCCGGCGUCACCUUGAGAUGGCCUUGCGGUGCAUUAGCUAGUUGGUGGGGUAACGGCCCACCAAGGCGACGAUGCAUAGCCGACCUGAGAGGGUGAUCGGCCACACUGGGACUGAGACACGGCCCAGACUCCUACGGGAGGCAGCAGUAGGGAAUCUUCCACAAUGGACGAAAGUCUGAUGGAGCAACGCCGCGUGAGUGAUGAAGGUUUUCGGAUCGUAAAACUCUGUUGUAAGGGAAGAACACGUACGAGAGGAAAUGCUCGUACCUUGACGGUACCUUACGAGAAAGCCACGGCUAACUACGUGCCAGCCGCCGCAGUAACAC